rnacentral:rRNA from 1 species
AUGUAAACUUGUUUGAAAAGUAAAAUAAGAUAUUAUGAUUUGUUAAGAAAAAUAAUUUUUAAUAGUUGAUUAAUUAGUAUAAUGAAAUUUAGAUUAAAACUAUAGUUUAAAAGUACCGUGGGGGAAAGUUUAAAUAUAAUGAAAAAUUUAAUUUUAGAAAAGAAAUUAUAAAGUUAUGUACCUUUUGUAUCAGGGAAGAUUAAAAUUUUCUAGGUAGGUUGGGUAUCCCGAAAAAAGAAUAGCUAAAAAAUUAAAAACGUUUUAGUUGUAAAUAGAUUUUUAAUAAUUUUUUGGUAGUGAAAUAUUAAUCGAGUCUUUUAAUAUCUGGUUGUUUCAGAAAAAAAUUUAAUUUUGUUUGAAUAUAGAAAAGCUAAUUCAAGUAAAUAAUUGGAGGGAAAAGCUUCUGGUUAAUUAAUUAAAUAUAAAGUGAUACAGUUGAAAUUUACUUUAACUAAGCUUAGAAGUAGUUAUGUUAGUAAAGUGUUUUAACUAAAAUUUUUAAUAGUUGACAUUUGUAUGACUUUUAUUUAUUUAGUAUGAAAUUUUAAUAAUAAGUCUUAUAUUAUUAGAAAAAAUGAUUUUAUUAGUAUAAUUAUCUUUGUCAAGAAUUAACUAAAUGAAAUAAAAAUUGUUCUUUGUUAAUAAACUGAAGAUGCAGUAAAGGAACUCGGCAAAUAAAAUUUCUGCCUGUUUAUCAAAAACAUGUCUUUAUGAAAAUUUAUGUAAAGUCUAGCCUGCCCAGUGAUGUUUAAGUUUAACGGCCGCGGUAGUAUGACCGUGCUAAGGUAGCAU